rnacentral:lncRNA from 1 species
GUCCUGUGUCACUGUCUUCCAUCGCCACCCUGCUUCUACCAGCACUACUCUGAGAAUGGCCUUGGCUCCUCUACAGUCCAGGAAGUGAGAAAAAAAGCCUUUCCCUUGAAGAAGGAUGAUAACCAGUGUGGGCCAGCAUCUCCCUGCUGAGGGCCAGAGAGUCCUGGUUUGGCACAGCAGACCAUCAACCUCAACGUGCUGCACAACUCCCUGACACAUCCAGAGCCAUCAUUUGGUCUCAUUGAAGCCCCACACUGGUGAAGGUUUUAUCACAGUCUCCUCCUACAACAUCACAAACACCAAACUGUCACCCCCGUUCUCCAAAAAGAACCUGAAGAGAUGGAUGAGCAGCUCUGUUGCCUUUCAGAAACUCAGCUUUUCACCCAAGGAAGGAACUGAUGUCACCAGUGGAAAAUCUGUGACAUUUCUGGGAGGAUCUGUGAGCCCGUGGCCACAGUAGGGCACUCCAGAGCCAUCAGAGUCUUGCCAAUAAAAACAGGAGUUGAGCUCGUUUUGGAGUGGCUGUGACCUGGAUUUACUCCCCAAAAGAUUGCACAGUGCCCAGACAAAGUGGCCAGACACACAGAGCCGAGCCACGCUGCAGGACUGCACAGGAUCCCCUGGCACACACUGCCAGGGAUGUUACCAAGAUCCUCAUGAGGGACUGUAUGGCCGUGGUGUGAAGCUCAGGACAGCGUGUUGUGCUGGCUGGUGUGAAGCAGGUGCUCACUUACUCCUCCCCAUGCUGACUAGCAUGUCAAAGUCAAGUGUGUUUGCAUGCAAGUGUCACCCACAAAAUGUGUUCUUCCUGCUUGAUCCAUCCAAUUACAUGUCUGACUUUGCCUGGACUCAGUGGAGAUUGAUAGUGCUGGGAUCAGACUGUGUUCAAGGAAUUGGAAAUCUGAUUUGAGGUGAGUCCUGCUUCAAGUAUAGCUCAAAUUCAAAAUUAUUUCAGUUCUGACGAAGAGGGGGAAGAGAAACAGAGUAGGUGAAAUAAUAGCUAUUACUAGAUAAGAUAAGCCAGGCAAGACAAAAUAUUAAUUCUGAUUCUGUUAGCACACCAAACAGAGAGAGAUGUAAAUCCAUCCUCCUGUCCACAUCAGAGAACAUUGCAGUCACCCUUGGUGCACAAUUCAGGCUGAUAAAUCAUUAAAACCAGGUAGAAAUGGUAACAUUCUGCUAUUAGAUGCCAUUGAUAGUACACUUGUCUGAGAAAGUGGGAUUCUCAGAGUCAGUGGCUCACAUUUCUUUGCAGGCAGAGGUGUGGGUUGGCUCUGAAGCUCUCAAGGUUCACAGGCCUCAC